GGUCAAGUGAAGAAGCGCAUACGGUGGAUGCCUUGGCAGUCAGAGGCGAUGAAAGACGUGGUAGCCUGCGAAAAGCUUCGGGGAGUCGGCAAACAGACUUUGAUCCGGAGAUCUCUGAAUGGGGGAACCCACCUAGGAUAACCUAGGUAUCUUGUACUGAAUCCAUAGGUGCAAGAGGCGAACCAGGGGAACUGAAACAUCUAAGUACCCUGAGGAAAAGAAAUCAACCGAGAUUCCCUUAGUAGUGGCGAGCGAACGGGGAUUAGCCCUUAAGCUUCAUUGAUUUUAGCGGAACGCUCUGGAAAGUGCGGCCAUAGUGGGUGAUAGCCCCGUACGCGAAAGGAUCUUUGAAGUGAAAUCGAGUAGGACGGAGCACGAGAAACUUUGUCUGAACAUGGGGGGACCAUCCUCCAAGGCUAAAUACUACUGACUGACCGAUAGUGAACCAGUACCGUGAGGGAAAGGCGAAAAGAACCCCGGAGAGGGGAGUGAAAUAGAACCUGAAACCGUAUGCGUACAAGCAGUGGGAGCCUACUUGUUAGGUGACUGCGUACCUUUUGUAUAAUGGGUCAGCGACUUAUAUUCAGUGGCGAGCUUAACCGUAUAGGGUAGGCGUAGCGAAAGCGAGUCUUAAUAGGGCGUUUAGUCGCUGGGUAUAGACCCGAAACCGGGCGAUCUAUCCAUGAGCAGGUUGAAGGUUAGGUAACACUGACUGGAGGACCGAACCCACUCCCGUUGAAAAGGUAGGGGAUGACUUGUGGAUCGGAGUGAAAGGCUAAUCAAGCUCGGAGAUAGCUGGUUCUCCUCGAAAGCUAUUUAGGUAGCGCCUCAUGUAUCACUCUGGGGGGUAGAGCACUGUUUCGGCUAGGGGGUCAUCCCGACUUACCAAACCGAUGCAAACUCCGAAUACCCAGAAGUGCCGAGCAUGGGAGACACACGGCGGGUGCUAACGUCCGUCGUGAAAAGGGAAACAACCCAGACCGCCAGCUAAGGUCCCAAAGUUGUGGUUAAGUGGUAAACGAUGUGGGAAGGCUUAGACAGCUAGGAGGUUGGCUUAGAAGCAGCCAUCCUUUAAAGAAAGCGUAAUAGCUCACUAGUCGAGUCGGCCUGCGCGGAAGAUGUAACGGGGCUCAAACCACACACCGAAGCUGCGGGUGUCACGUAAGUGACGCGGUAGAGGAGCGUUCUGUAAGCCUGUGAAGGUGAGUUGAGAAGCUUGCUGGAGGUAUCAGAAGUGCGAAUGCUGACAUGAGUAACGACAAUGGGUGUGAAAAACAUCCACGCCGAAAGACCAAGGGUUCCUGCGCAACGUUAAUCGACGCAGGGUUAGUCGGUUCCUAAGGCGAGGCUGAAAAGCGUAGUCGAUGGGAAACAGGUUAAUAUUCCUGUACUUCUGGUUACUGCGAUGGAGGGACGGAGAAGGCUAGGCCAGCUUGGCGUUGGUUGUCCAAGUUUAAGGUGGUAGGCUGAAACCUUAGGUAAAUCCGGGGUUUCAAGGCCGAGAGCUGAUGACGAGUCGUCUUUUAGAUGACGAAGUGGUUGAUGCCAUGCUUCCAAGAAAAGCUUCUAAGCUUCAGGUAACCAGGAACCGUACCCCAAACCGACACAGGUGGUCGGGUAGAGAAUACCAAGGCGCUUGAGAGAACUCGGGUGAAGGAACUAGGCAAAAUGGCACCGUAACUUCGGGAGAAGGUGCGCCGGCUAGGGUGAAGGAUUUACUCCGUAAGCUCUGGCUGGUCGAAGAUACCAGGCCGCUGCGACUGUUUAUUAAAAACACAGCACUCUGCAAACACGAAAGUGGACGUAUAGGGUGUGACGCCUGCCCGGUGCCGGAAGGUUAAUUGAUGGGGUUAGCGCAAGCGAAGCUCUUGAUCGAAGCCCCGGUAAACGGCGGCCGUAACUAUAACGGUCCUAAGGUAGCGAAAUUCCUUGUCGGGUAAGUUCCGACCUGCACGAAUGGCGUAACGAUGGCGGCGCUGUCUCCACCCGAGACUCAGUGAAAUUGAAAUCGCUGUGAAGAUGCAGUGUAUCCGCGGCUAGACGGAAAGACCCCGUGAACCUUUACUGUAGCUUUGCACUGGACUUUGAGCCUGCUUGUGUAGGAUAGGUGGGAGGCUUUGAAGCGUGGACGCCAGUUCGCGUGGAGCCAUCCUUGAAAUACCACCCUGGCAUGCUUGAGGUUCUAACUCUGGUCCGUAAUCCGGAUCGAGGACAGUGUAUGGUGGGCAGUUUGACUGGGGCGGUCUCCUCCUAAAGAGUAACGGAGGAGUACGAAGGUGCGCUCAGACCGGUCGGAAAUCGGUCGCAGAGUAUAAAGGCAAAAGCGCGCUUGACUGCGAGACAGACACGUCGAGCAGGUACGAAAGUAGGUCUUAGUGAUCCGGUGGUUCUGUAUGGAAGGGCCAUCGCUCAACGGAUAAAAGGUACUCCGGGGAUAACAGGCUGAUACCGCCCAAGAGUUCAUAUCGACGGCGGUGUUUGGCACCUCGAUGUCGGCUCAUCACAUCCUGGGGCUGAAGCCGGUCCCAAGGGUAUGGCUGUUCGCCAUUUAAAGUGGUACGCGAGCUGGGUUUAGAACGUCGUGAGACAGUUCGGUCCCUAUCUGCCGUGGACGUUUGAGAUUUGAGAGGGGCUGCUCCUAGUACGAGAGGACCGGAGUGGACGAACCUCUGGUGUUCCGGUUGUCACGCCAGUGGCAUUGCCGGGUAGCUAUGUUCGGAAAAGAUAACCGCUGAAAGCAUCUAAGCGGGAAACUUGCCUCAAGAUGAGAUCUCACUGGGAACUUGAUUCCCCUGAAGGGCCGUCGAAGACUACGACGUUGAUAGGCUGGGUGUGUAAGCGUUGUGAGGCGUUGAGCUAACCAGUACUAAUUGCCCGUGAGGCUUGACCAU
rnacentral:rRNA from 1 species